CCUACGGGGGGCAGCAGUGAGGAAUAUUGGUCAAUGGACGAGAGUCUGAACCAGCCAAGUAGCGUGAAGGAUGACUGCCCUAUGGGUUGUAAACUUCUUUUAUAUGGGAAUAAAACGUUCCACGUGUGGGAUUUUGUAUGUACCAUAUGAAUAAGGAUCGGCUAACUCCGUGCCAGCAGCCGCGGUAAUACGGAGGAUCCGAGCGUUAUCCGGAUUUAUUGGGUUUAAAGGGAGCGUAGGUGGAUUGUUAAGUCAGUUGUGAAAGUUUGCGGCUCAACCGUAAAAUUGCAGUUGAAACUGGCAGUCUUGAGUACAGUAGGGGUGGGCGGAAUUCGUGGUGUAGCGGUGAAAUGCUUAGAUAUCACGAAGAACUCCGAUUGCGAAGGCAGUUCACUGGACUGCAACUGACACUGAGGCUCGAAAGUGUGGGUAUCAAACAGGAUUAGAUACCCUGGUAGUC
rnacentral:rRNA from 1 species